rnacentral:rRNA from 1 species
GUAGUCCACGCUGUAAACGAUGAUGACUAACCGUCGGCGAUACACAGUCGGUGGCCAAGCGAAAGCGAUAAGUCAUCCACCUGGGGAGUACGACCGCAAGGUUGAAACUCAAAGGAAUUGACGGGGGCCCGCACAAGCGGAGGAACAUGUGGUUUAAUUCGAUGAUACGCGAGGAACCUUACCCGGGCUCGAACGGCAGGGGAAUGGAUCAGAGAUGGUCCAGUCUUCGGACUCCUGUCGAGGUGCUGCAUGGUUGUCGUCAGCUCGUGCUGUGAAGUGUCGGCUUAAGUGCCAUAACGAGCGCAACCCUUGCCGUCAGUUGCCAUCAGGUGAUGCUGGGGACUCUGGCGGGACUGCCACCGCAAGGUGUGA